rnacentral:misc_RNA from 1 species
ACCUUUAUUGGUGCCAACCCAAGAAACAAUGUGAAGUUGGAGGGCACUUUCCUGAGUGUAGAGAUGCUACAACCUGACAACAACUGGAAGGUCGUGUUCACAGACAGUCAAUGGGAGACAAAGUUUGAAUGGAAGCACACAAGUUUGUUACUGGGAGAGAGUGAGGUCACUAUUACCUGGGACAUCCCACAAACCCAGGCCCCGGGUACCUACAGGAUUCAGUACUUCGGGGACGCCAAGAGUCUGGAUCAAAAGAUUUCAAGUUUCACUGGGAAAUCAACGGAUUUCAAGGUCAUGACCCCAAAAGAAUAUAUCAAACACAAGCAUGGAAUGCCCAAGAGUGUUAACAGAAUUCUAAAGAAAAACUGGCAGUCUUUGUAUAAAAAUAAAUAUAGAAAGAGUAUGUCCAUUGUAAACAAAAAACACUGAAUGAACUUUGUUUACCAGGGUAUGUUAUUUUUCAUACAGAAACUGAUACCGGUAUUUGCUCAAUAUUUAUAUUUUUGAGAAGACUCUUUUUCUAAGAUAGGUUUCACAUUACAUUAGAUGAUUCUUGAAUACAAAACAGUAAUGUUUAAUUCAAAAUGCAUGUAUUGUCAUUUUUUAUCAACAUUUUGAUAUCCAGAAAUUAUAUUCUAUGAUAGUUUUAUACUUUAUGCUUUAUAAAUGAAAUCCAUUGCAUCUAUAAAGGAUGUAGGAAUUUAACUUGGUAUUUUUUUUCAUUAUGAGAUUAAUUAUUCAGGGUUUGUAUUUACUGUUUGGUAUAUGUGCAAACAGUGUAUGAAUGCCUUAGUUCUGCAUGUUUGUAUGUCUCAUGUCUAUGGUAACAGUUUAUAUAUAGUGACAUUGUGAUGCACAAACCACUGAUUUUCCACAUUUGAAUCAUCAGAUGUUUUGCACUUAAAUUAUUUUUUUAGGUAAACAAGAGAAAUUUGAACCUGAUUAUUUUUGUUCAGUACAAAAAUAUUAGUUUUCCCUUCUGUUUAAAGAUCACAAAUGAGCAAAUGAUUGUAAAUAUUGCAGUAUUAAAUGUAUCUUUUACAACAAGUUGCCUAACAAAUCGAAAGUUUUCGCCCUGAACAUAUACUGUUCUUAUUAAAGAUGCCCUCUACCUCACUACAAUUAUUAAAUUACCCUACAUUCCAUUUUUUCCCCUUAAUUUUAUCACUGUCAUUACAAUUCUGGGUAACUUUGAACAACUUGUGAUCAGGGAUGCUUAUGAGUGUAUAGAUUCUCCUAAGAUUAGAAGUUUUACAGAUCUAUUUAUUUCCAUUCUCACAACCGAAAUAGAAUAUCAUGUCAAAGUCAUGUGUCACUAUCGGUUUGUCUCAAUACAGUUCCUUGUGUUUCACGGUGCCAAAUUACUAGUAUUUUGUUGUUCUUUGUAUUCACUUUUCCUUUAAAUGUUGUUGCAAUGUAUGGAUUCUUGUCUGUUGAUUUUGAUAUGAUUUACUUUCUCUGUGCAUUGAUCCCUUUGGACACUGUGCUUUCUUUUGAAGUUUGAGACUCUGUUUGUUGAAUGAAUGGCAUACAUUCAAAACUCCACUUUGAAUAAAAACUAUUUGAUAAACAUGU